GCUGGGCACAGCAGCCCACGCCUGUAAUCCCAGCAGCUCAGGAGGCUGAGGCAGGAGGAUCAUGAGUUCAAAGCCGGCCUCAGCAAAAGUGAGGUGCUAAGCAACUCAGUGAGACCCUGUCUCUA
rnacentral:sRNA from 1 species